GGAGGAAAAGAAACCAACCGGGAUUGCCUUAGUAACGGCGAGUGAAGCGGCAAAAGCUCAAAUUUGAAAUCUGGUACCUUCGGUGCCCGAGUUGUAAUUUGGAGAGGGCAACUUUGGGGCCGUUCCUUGUCUAUGUUCCUUGGAACAGGACGUCAUAGAGGGUGAGAAUCCCGUGUGGCGAGGAGUGCGGUUCUUUGUAAAGUGCCUUCGAAGAGUCGAGUUGUUUGGGAAUGCAGCUCUAAGUGGGUGGUAAAUUCCAUCUAAAGCUAAAUAUUGGCGAGAGACCGAUAGCGAACAAGUACAGUGAUGGAAAGAUGAAAAGAACUUUGAAAAGAGAGUGAAAAAGUACGUGAAAUUGUUGAAAGGGAAGGGCAUUUGAUCAGACAUGGUGUUUUGUGCCCUCUGCUCCUUGUGGGUAGGGGAAUCUCGCAUUUCACUGGGCCAGCAUCAGUUUUGGUGGCAGGAUAAAUCCAUAGGAAUGUAGCUUGCCUCGGUAAGUAUUAUAGCCUGUGGGAAUACUGCCAGCUGGGACUGAGGACUGCGACGUAAGUCAA
rnacentral:rRNA from 1 species